rnacentral:rRNA from 1 species
GACGAACGCUGGCGGCGUGCCUAAUACAUGCAAGUCGAGCGAAGCGGCGGAUUGGUGAGUAACGCGUGGGUAACCUGCCCUUAAGUCUGGGAUACCAUUUUGAAACAGAUGCUAAUACCGGAUACUGAAGGAUGGACCUGCGAUGCAUUAGCUAUUUGGUAAGGUAACGGCUUACCAAGGCGAUGAUGCAUAGCCGAGAUGGAAGAAUUAGCGGCCACAUUGGAACGGAGACACGGCCCAAACUCCUACGGGAGGCAGCAGCAGGGAAUCUUACACAAUGGACGAAAGUCUGAUGGAGCAACGCCGCGUGAGUGAAGAAGGUGUUCGGAUCGUAAAGCUCUGUUGUUGGUGAAGCGGUAAUCAACCAGAAAGUCACGGCUAACUACGUGCCAGCAGCCGCGGUAAUUC